AUGGUAAAUUGUCAGGUCUCAGACUCACAUGGAAAAUUGUCAGGUCUCAGACUCACAUGGAAAAUUGUCAGGUCUCAGAAAAUCUUCCUGCAGGUGGCGCUGUUGUCAUGUCCCAUCCAAAUUGAUUUCCAAAUACGUCAUCAACGUGUGACAGUGGGAGAGCGCAAGGUCAUUGACCAUUUUGUGAUCCUGAUAUGUAUUUUUCUGUUGUUGUUUUUAGACUUUUCUGCAAUGUCAUCCGACGAUGAUGAAAGGAAUACGAUGAUAAUAACAUUGUUCAACAAAGGCUUAAAACAAAAGGAAAUCAGCUGUGUACUCAAUUCAUAUGGGCAUAAAAUAAGUGAGAGGCAUCUGAGACGAGUUUUAAAACUUCUAGGGUUGAAGCGAAGAUGCCCCCAACGACCUUUUACUGAAAUCCACAAAGCAGUGGAGAGUGAGAUGAAACAGUGUUCUCCUGAACAAGGAAUCAGGGCAAUGGUAAAGCGGGUAAGGGAUGUCAGAGGAGUGCGGCCUUGUUACAGAGACGAUGUUGCUAAUAUAAUGAGGGAUAUGGAUGCAAGUGGUCUUCAGAGGAGAUCUCCUGGAAAGAAGAAAAUUCCCCGUCGGAAUUACAUCAGCCGUGGUCCAAAUGACACCUGGCACAUUGAUGGCAAUGAUAAACUGAAGUUCUUUGGAAUGUGGAUACAUUUGGCUCUUUUCAGAUUUUCCAGGAAGGUUCUAUGGCUAAAGGUGGGCACAUCCAACCGCAAACAAAACUUUGUGGCCAGAUACUUCUUUGAGGCUGUUCAAGAACAGGGUGGCUGUCCUCAAAUGAUUCGGGGGACAGAGGAAAGGAGAACCUUGUUGUUGGUCAAAUGCAGAUGGCAUUUCACAUGCGAGAUCUUGGGAAUCAGGCAUGGAGGUGCUUCAGAAUGGGGACAUCAGUGCACAACCAGAGAGCUGAAUGUUUUAACAGUAUUUUAA
rnacentral:lncRNA from 1 species